rnacentral:misc_RNA from 1 species
GAGAGAGAGAGAGAGAGAGUUCACUCUAUCUAAAUGUCUUCACUGGAGAAACAGACUCAAAUAGAGCUCAUGAUGUAUGAAAUAUGUAAGAGUGGCCUGACAAAAGAACUGAAGUAACAAGGGGUUAUUUUGCAAAUAUGAAGCUGGUUAUUUUCAAAUCAAUCUAGCCAUAGAGGAGUCUGGGACUGAUUUUGAAGGUCCAGAUUAGGAAGCAAAGUAUCAAAUUGAAAUUUAAGAGUAGUGGCGAUGUAAAACAAAGAAAGAGUUAGAAAACAAGAGGGCCGAUGCAAGACAUCUAACUUCCCAACCUCUUACUCUCGUGAUAGCGUAAAUCUAAACAUAGUAUACAUGUGUGUCAAAAGGAGAGGGAAAAAAUUGGAAUUCAUACAUAACUGAAUCAUAAUUCCAAAGGCCAUUUGGUUUGUAGCAUUAAUCAUCAAGUUAUACUUAGAUUGGCGAGCUACAUCAAUGAAGGGAUGUUGCUAACUAAGCUACCAAAUUUGAAUAUAUAAGCUCACUGAAAGCUAUCACUCCUACGAUGAUAGAAAAACUAACAUCCAAAACCAGGAAUACACCACAGAAUAUGGGUAACAAUAAAAUAUUGGAUCAAUUAUCAAUUGAUAUAAGGGGAUUUUCUAGGAAUCUAAUUGUAAAGAAUAAGAGAAUAUAAAUUGAGGCUAAGGAUGGAGAGAGGAUAUGAGGAGAUAAAUUAAGAAUUUGUUCUUGAUCUUCCAUGUGAUUCUUCUCGGCUUGAUGCAUAAAAUUAACAACAAU